rnacentral:rRNA from 1 species
AUUGAACGCUGGCGGCAGGCCUAACACAUGCAAGUCGAGCGAGCGGCGGACGGGUGAGUAAUGUCUGGGAAACUGCCUGAUGGAGGGGGAUAACUACUGGAAACGGUAGCUAAUACCACAUACCAUCGGAUGUGCCUAGAUGGGAUUAGCUAGUAGGUGGGGUAAUGGCUCACCCAGGCGACGCUCCCUAGCUGGUCUGAGAGGAUGACCAGCCACACUGGAACUGAGACACGGUCCAGACUCCUACGGGAGGCAGCAGUGGGGAAUAUUGGACAAUGGGCGCAAGCCUGAUGCAGCCAUGCCGCGGGUAUGAAGAAGGCCUUCGGGUUGUAAAGUACUUUCAGUGGGGAGGCGUUACCCGCAGAAGAAGCACCGGCUAACUCCGUGCCAGCAGCCGCGGUAAUAC